rnacentral:rRNA from 1 species
GACGGAGGGUGCUAGCGUUGUUCGGAAUGACUGGGCGUAAAGGGCGCGUAGGCGGCCGCUUGCGUCGGAUGUGAAAGCCCGGGGCUCAACCCUCGAAUGCCGGUGGAUACUGUCGGGCUAGAGUGCGGAAGAGGCGAGUGGAAUUCCUGGUGUAGCGGUGAAAUGCGCAGAUAUCAGGAGGAACACCGAUUGCGAAGGCAGCUCGCUGGGACGUAACUGACGCUGAGACGCGAAAGCGUGGGGAGCAAACAGG